rnacentral:sRNA from 1 species
GCAGAGAUGGACUCCUGCAUCCCUACCUU